rnacentral:rRNA from 1 species
GACGUAGGGCGCGAGCGUUGUCCGGAUUUAUUGGGCGUAAAGAGCUCGUAGGCGGCUUGUUGCGUCGACUGUGAAAACCCGCGGCUCAACCGCGGGCCUGCAGCCGAUACGGGCAGGCUAGAGUUCGGUAGGGGAGACUGGAAUUCCUGGUGUAGCGGUGAAAUGCGCAGAUAUUGGGAGGAACACCGGUGGCGAAGGCGGCUACCUGGACCGGUUCUGACGCUGAUGCGCGAAAGCGUGGGUAGCAAACAGG